CCGGAACGGUGUAAACUUUAGCGAUGCUGCUACUGGUUUUCACGCUUUGCAGAAAUUACGUUCUCCGCCUUAUUUUGCGGCAAAUUAAAUCUAAUUUUUUCCCGCAUCUCUUUGAGUUAGCGAAGAUGAGUGUUAAGACAGGAAGCAUACUGUCCAGUCAUUUCAAGCCAAGUUAGACAGUGCAUGACUUCUUACGAAAUAAAUCCAUAAAGCAACUUGGGUCGUUUCGUUAUCUAUCUGUCAGCUAAGGACAGAACAGUAAGAAGUCGGUAGACGUCCAGCUUGAUUGGUGUAGUUUCAAAGCAGCAAUGUCGGAUUCAGAA